rnacentral:lncRNA from 1 species
UUUCAUUCCAAGUUUCUCAGCUGACUUGUAAUUACAUUGCAUGGAAGGCAAAUAUGUUUUCUUGGGGUAAACUGAGACUUUGAGCCAGGGGAGGAGUGCAUUCUCAUUCUUUUUUCCUUCCUUCAUGUAAAGCCUAAGGAGAUGGGAGACCAAUCCCUUUAAGCUUGAAUGUGUUUCUUUGCCAUGUUUGAUUUUGGGUAUGAAGCAUGUUGCAUAAGUGUCCCUUAGCCAUUAUCAGAGAGUUUCAGAGAACCCUGAGUACCCUGGGCGAGAUCAGCCAGAUCUUCUCAUUAGCAGCUGGGCAUCUCUAGGAAAGUCAGGAGGCAGAAAUCAGCAUGAUUCCCGUGCAGUCUGUUUGAUCUGUGGGUUUCUGACUUCUUUCCCACCAAAACUGUUCCAUCUCUUUUUUAAUAAGUCCUUGUGUUGCUUGAACUUUUCCAUAAAGAAAUGAAAUUGAGUCAAAUUUAAAAAUCUGACUGUUCAGAAGCUUUCAGGAGAAAACAUUGUUCCCCACCAGAGAUGUUCCUUCGGGGAUGCUGAAGCCUCCCCUCAGCCAUGUAUGACGGUAACUGAUGGGGGAAAUUUCAUAUUUCCAAACAGCUUCUCCCAAACCAUAUUCUUUAUCUUGCUGCCUCCUCUGGCCUCCCCAAAUGCUUCUCUUGCUUCAUGUUUCAGCCAUGGUCACCAGCACCUGGAGGAUCUGCAUGCUGUUACUGGGACCCAGGAAAAGGAUCCAGCAGAGACAGCAAAAUCCCUGGGACAACAGAGCACUGUUGCUGAUGGAAUUCCUGUGCCACAUGCAUCACUGAGGAGCAGCACAGAACUGGAAAAGGGCUCCAGGAUAAGGGAUCUCUGGCCCUCACUGGCCACCAAAGAACUAUUGUGGAGCUCUGGAGAUACCAGCACCAUCAGUGCAAGGGCCAGCUUGCGGAAGAAGGAAUUGUGGCUCUUCCUGCCUGCAAAGUAUGCCUGCUUGGAAAGUCCAUCUACAAAUCCUGAAGAGGUACAUGGACAGUUUGGGGCAGUCCUGGCAAGCACCAAGUACCAGAAGGAGGGCACAUGCUUGUACAGAAACGUGAUGGACAGAGAGCCUGUUUAUGUUACUUGAUGUGGUCACCUGAGUUGAGGAGCAGUGUGGAGCUACUGCAUCCAACAAAGCAUCAAGAGAUGCUGUCACAACCCUACACACAGUGUGAUCCAGGAAUGAACUGGCAGCACAUCCUUGUAUCUGCGAGUGCCAAGUCUAACUCACAGAAGCAGCCCACCACCAGCUCUGCAGCCAAAAUACUUGCUCCAUUUUCUCAAGAAUCAACAAAAUAACACACGAACAAAAAAUUCACUCAGUAUAUAUCUCUAAAGAAUGAAGCACCUUGGCGUAUAUACAAUGAAGCAUCAUGUGCAAGAAUGGUGUUUCAUGACUCAGCCACCAUAGACGACUUCACGGAAGCAAAAAGGGAAA